rfam:Trichobilharzia regenti genome assembly, scaffold: TRE_scaffold0024601
AUCUAGUUGACGAGUCCCACAUAGGACGAAACGUACAUCCUCGAU